rnacentral:lncRNA from 1 species
GUGUUGUGCGGCAUCAAAGCAGUUCUGCGCUGUUACAACGAGCGGAUGAGAAGGGCAGGAAUUAGGCAGUAGGCACGCGGCCGUGUACUUUCAGACAAACUAAAUCAACGUGUCCAAUUAAGCUUUAAAUCAACAAAUCAACUAUUCUCUGUUUUUCAGGACAGAACAUGUGCAAGCUCAUGGUUUUAUGCCGAUUCAUCCUUCAAGACAAGUAUUAGGCGUGUGGCAGCACAACCUAGGUGUGUAGGCGUGUAGCUGCAUACAUGUGAAGGGAAAUAGGGAGGCAGCUUCGGCUUGGAUAUGCUAUUAGGCCUUUGUAAGUUUUACUGAUGCAAAUUCUUUUUGAAAGAUCCCUAAAGUCAUUUACCCUUUUGCCACUGAGAAUUGUUUACUAUUGUGAAUUGUACCAGUGGUCUAAAUUGUCAAUUAAUGACAUAGACCUAGAUACCAUAAAACACCGUUGAUAAAUCGACUGAAAUAUGAACAUUCUUGGCCCAAAGUUACAGCAUUGCACCAAUUAAUUGUUAACCUCUUGGUUUUAAUGAUAAUUGUUCUACUAGGCGUUUUUCUUCUGCUAGCAUUCCAUCAAUAAUGUCAGUUGUAAUUAUAUAUAUAUAAAUAAAACUUAGACAAUCAGUGUGAUUAUUCUGCACAAUGUGUCCAAAUCACUCUAUUUUUCCAUGACAUUAACAAUUGUCCUUUGACUGUCUAUGUGAACGUUCUCUAGAAUUUCAUUCCAAGUUAAGUCUGGUCUUCUUUGCGUAAUUUAUAUAGCAGGGUCUACAAGAAUUGGAUGCAGAUCCACUAUCCCACCCUCCCCUCUGUAUUUACUGCAAUGCAUAUUUACCUGGAGGUAGCAUCUCAGCGGUAUGUCAAGUGCCAAGUCAGUUUUCACUAAAUACAAAUUUUAAUAUAUACUGGUUGUAUAUUUAUGGAUUAUAGUUGAAAUUCUCAAAUGAAUAAAUAUUUUUGUAGUCCUAUAUACAGCUACCUAAAACAGAAGUUGGCACAUCUUCAUUAGAAGGUAUGCUCACUAGCUUGAUUUCUCCUAGAGAUGUAGAAUGUUUAUUCCCGCAAUGUUAUUUUGCAAUUUCCUUUUUUGAUGUAGCUGCUUAUCUAUCAAGUUUAUUUAGCAGAGUGUCUAUGAAAGUGUGCAGUUCAAAUAAUCGGGUUAUGUUAUACUAAGUAUCCUAUAAAUGAUCUGAAUGAACACAAGCGAUGGCGUCCGUCGGCCACGGUGCCCAAGGCGUAGACUGGACCCUUCUAAGGAGGCAUGUGGGGAUGCAUGCAAGACAUGCCCUCAUUCUAUGAAACAAAGUCAAAAGCAAAUGGGAGUAUGAGAGAUGGUGUAUGGACCAAGUGAUGGAGCAUCUCACGGACGGCGGCCCUCACUUCAAGCUCGAUGAGCUUAACUUAAACAUGCUCUUGCACUGGCAUGGUCGUGAUAGGUUUGUCAUCUGGGCGAUUGCCCGUGUUCGAAAGGUUGGUGUGAUUUUUCACUAUAGGAAUUGAUAGCUUGACAGGUUAUUUGGCUUAGCCUAUGUUGUGUUGUUGCUUGUUUGUCUGAUCCCUAUCAUGCUGAUGUUUCAUACCAUGAUAGCUGUUUAUGGUUGUAAUAUUACACCAUUGACAGGUUAAGAAAAGGUGUUUGCUGAUUGAGAAAGUUGAGAGACAACUUACGGACACUAUAACAGUUAGGAAUUUAUUGUUGGGCCAAAAUUAUGUCGUUGUUUAUAUACAUGCAUCAAUUCUUCAUGUAGCUCACUACUUAUUCUGUUAUGAGAAUAACAACUGUAGAUAGAGUCAUUCAUCUUGCUUCUUUUCUAGAUGAAUAACUUCAUUAUGGGUUGUGUCAUCCGAGGCAAGUUGAUACUACCUACUGUAUGCAAAUUCCAGAUGCAUUAGGAGGGGAGUGACGAAGCCGGAGGGGCCGAGGUGCCCUCAUCAUCAUGGGUGCUUGACGGUGCAUCAUAGACCAGGCGGAGGAUCUCCUGGUGGAGCUUGGCAGAACCGAGGCACUUGGAGGAGAAGACGCCAUGGAGCCCUCGCCCGCUGCUGGUAGGCUUUGGCGAGGACGAGCGCCGGGAAAGGUCCCAGAUGUUGCGCCAAGGCCUUCCGCGCCCGCACCCGAGGUAGGUGCUUCACUAACAAGCUGCUACAAGUGUACAAGGCCUUCCACGUUGAAGCUGAGAAGGCAAGAAGAUUUCGUUAUUAAUAGGGACAAAUAGGUGGCUAGCGUAUCCUUUUUGGUUGGCUGAAGCGUUGGAGUGCUAAAGUUCCAGAUAAAAAUCCAUCUUUGGCGCAUUUGUUUUCAGAUUAUUGCUGUUGGAGAUGAGCUAUACAGAGAGAGACACACACACUUAUCUGUACAAAAUCCAUCUUUGGCGCACUUGGGGAAACUUUGUCCAAGGGCAAUUCAUAGAUUGGAAUUUAGAUUUGGGGCAAUUUUGUUUGCCUUGCUUUGUACGGAUGUUGCUAUGCUUUGUGUAUUGUUGUCAUUAUUGUACAGAGAGAAGAUACAGUGAGACAGAUGGAGAGAUAUUGCUAGCUAUUUUUUGUGGAAUUGUUGUGUUCUGUUGGCCAAGAUUAUUCUUUGUUGGUUGCUGAAGCAAAUUGUUGUGAGGGAAAUUGGGCAUAAUUAUCAGCGUGCAACGCUUGAAGGUGUUCGGUGAAGCUUGUGCCACCGGGCAAAAGCUCGCCUUGCUCGACCAGUUGACACUCUGCCAUCAACACAUGAGGAGGACACAAAGUCUGGUGUUUCUUCUGUUGCAACGCAUAGCACGGUGGCAAACUAACGGGAGGGGAAUGGGAGUUUAACUCUAAUUCCCUUUCCCCAUCUCAAUUACCAGCCCUCCUUCAGGAUAUGUGGCACUUCUACACGUGAAUUCCCCU